GUCUCACUUAUAUGGAAACUGUUUUCCUGGGCAUGACGGAAACUACUACAAUCUCGACAGUCUCUUCGAAAACUACAACUUCUGCAGUAGGUGAAUUAGCUUUGUUUGUGGUCACAAUGGCCACAACGGAAGCUGCCGAUUUAAAGGUGUAUGGUGUAUGAACGGAACUGUUUUCCAGUUGUUCAUGUUUAUCUAAGGAACAAGCAUACCAUUGAUCGUGCCGCUUCUAACAAGAUGAGACAAGCAGAUGAUGGACAAAGAGAUGAGGACAAGGUCUUGUGGUAGUCCCUAAAGACUGCAACUCUGCUGCAGAUACUGAUCUAUGUGCUCAUGCUGCUUAAUAUGGGAAUAUAAAUGUAAAAAAAUAAACAUUUAAGCAUUUGAAGAGGCUUCUGACAAAAUAUUGAAUAUUUUAUAUUUGUUGCAAUUGAAAAUGUGUUUUAUAGUCUGUAAUGUAAAUAUCACCAUAUUAAAUGAAUAAAAUAUUUUCACUAUGGUCAACA
rnacentral:lncRNA from 1 species